rnacentral:rRNA from 1 species
AUACGUAGGUGGCAAGCGUUGUCCGGAAUUAUUGGGCGUAAAGAGCAUGUAGGCGGAGAUUUAAGUCUGUUGUGAAAAUGCGGGGCUCAACCCCGUAUUGCGAUGGAAACUGAAUUUCUUGAGUGCAGGAGAGGAAAGGGGAAUUCCCAGUGUAGCGGUGAAAUGCGUAGAUAUUGGGAGGAACACCAGUGGCGAAGGCGCCUUUCUGGACUGUGUCUGACGCUGAGGAGCGAAAGCCAGGGGAGC